UUUGACCUCAAAUCAGGUAGGACUACCCGCUGAACUUAAGCAUAUCAAUAAGCGGAGGAAAAGAAACUAACAAGGAUUCCCCUAGUAACUGCGAGUGAAGCGGGAAAAGCUCAAAUUUAAAAUCUGGCGGUCUUCUGGCUGUCCGAGUUGUAAUCUAGAGAAGUGUUAUCCGCGCUGGACC
rnacentral:rRNA from 1 species